rnacentral:tRNA from 1 species
GCUAGUGUAGCUUAAUUUAAAGUAUAGCACUGAAAAUGCUAAGAUGAAAAAUAAUAUUUUUCCGCAAGCA